UUAAAUAUAAGUAACAUGGAAUGAAAUUAACACUAUAUUUGACAAAUUCAUCACUCUUAUAAUAGGACAAAAAAAGUAGAGUUUCUAAAAUUUGACAUUGGAUGAAUGAUUAUGGGAAGAGAAUAAUGGUUCUAUGGUUAUAAAAGAUUUAUCAUUCAUUUUCUAAAAAUACAAAAACAAACAAUGUGUGAUGGGGGAAAAGAGAAAAUUCCAUAUGAAAUUGUAAUCAUGAUAAGGUUCACUUGAUAAAAAGACAAAACAAUUGACUCAAUGGCUGAGUCAUUCCAUUAAUUCCUUGAAACCAAACUUAUUCAUCUCUUUGUAAUUUUACUGUAUUAAAUAGUACUUUUGAAUCAGGUUAAAAGUGCAAUCAAUUCAUUACCCAACUUGUCUCAAUAAAGAAAAAGGGAGAAGAACCCACUUGCAGUUGGUCCAUCCAUCAACUAGGUUUGAUGGAAAUAUAUAUUUAAUGGCUAAGAAGAAAUGGUCAUCACUCAUGACCCUUUUUUCUAUAUAAAUAUAUAUACACAAAAUGUGUCAAAGUUCAAGAUAAUCAAACCCUUUAAAGGGUAGUGAUUUCAAACCGACCACUACGACAUUCUGGUCACUGCAAAUUUCUACAUCUUCCUCCUAAUUAUUGCAAGUCCUAAAAGUGAGGGUUUGAAGCUCUAAUCCAUAUUUUCAAAGCCUGCCUUUCAAAUUGAGAAUCUUAGCCCUUUAAAAAGGCCAGAAAUGAAUUACCUAAGCCACACAGAAGAUUUCAUAUAAAGGAGAGUUUGGCAAGUCUUUGCAUGUCCAUUCAGAAGGAAGUUUCUUCUUUGACCAUGAACAUGGACCAUUUUAAUUGGUUCUGUUCGUUAAGGUCAAAAAGGUUGAAUUUUGCUACAGCAAGUUCUACUUAUUGAAAAAAGUUAAUAUAUAUAAUUUGUUUUAUAUGUAAAUCUUAAUGUAUAAUGAUGCAGAGAGCUUAAGUUUCAACCCUGCCUGUUUUUAUGAAGAAAUCAGCUAACCCAGGGGAUUUUCUUGCAAACUAUGUAGUUUCGUGACAAAUGAAAAUGUGGCUAAAGUAAUAUGCAUCAGAAAAGAGACUCAUGAAUACAUACCUGAGUUGCUUGAUUUUGAGAAGCACACAAAUUCUUCAGAAGUUGUGUUGAACCCACACUGCCCAGAAUAUUCAAGGCACUCCCAACAAGCUCCUUGGCCAUAUUCAGCUCUGUACUCCAAAUCAAAACCUUUGCUCAAAGCAUCUUUUGCCGUCAACCGAUUAAUUUGCAAAUCUGUGUAGUAUUUUUGCAGAAGUGGAAUGCUGAUCGUACCAUUACAUAACAGCUUUUCAUAACCCGAAGGAUCCAUUAGGUAAUAACCUGGUUCAGCUUUACUGGUGCAUCUGAGCUCAGGUAACGUUGUAUUUGGAAUCCCAGUUGAGCAAUUGUACACAUAAGUCAACCUGGCAUUAUUUGAAGCACAUUUAAAAGGACUGUUCUCAAGGGCCUUAGCUGAGAUGUUAACAACUCUGUCAGGACAACCAUCAUCCACCAUAUCUGCAUCAACAACUGUAAUAGUUUCGUCCCGUUCACCCAAUAUGUAAAACUUUCUGGACAGAAUCUCUAUUUCAGGGUAGGUGUUAUGAUGGCACUCUAGCUUGAAUCCUGGGCGGCCACAGUCUUGAUUUCGUUCACCUCCCCAGUAAGGGUAUCCAAAAGAUGCAUAACCACACUUGAACAGGCGGCUACAAGCUUCAAACUUUGCCUCAUCUUCGACAGUUUUGUAAGGGGUUGGUACUCCCACGGAUACAGUUACUAUGGUGAAGAAGAUUAAAGAAGAAGCAUGGAGUAAAGGGUACAUCGGAAAAGUUUGGUGUAAGAAAAACAAAAUGGUACUCUCACACAAAAAUAACUAAACCAAAAAUUUAGAGAACAAUGAAGAAGACAGUUGGGUUUGAAAAAUAAAGUGCUGGUUUAAUCAAGUAAGGGUAACUAGGCCAUAUUUUUCCUUACAAAGUCUAAUAUUUCAUUAUUCACUGUCUCUUUCCUAGACACAUUCAAACUGUUGACUAUAAGGAAAUUUCUUAUACCAGCAUAUCACGUUUUGGACUAAAUUUGUUUGUAUUAACUACAAGCAUUAUCUAAAGAAUUUGGUAAUAGAGAAAUGCUAGGAGGCACUAUUAGCCAACACUACACGGAGGUGAUAUUGGUGAAAUUCAAUAUUGGGUUUCACACAUUGGACUUUAAUAAAUAUUAUGGAAUGGCACCUUAAAGUGUCAAAUUGCAACCCUCUUGAUUAUAUGGUAAGUUAAGUUUUCCAACAUUUAUGAUGUGGCACGUGAUUGAUGAUGGUGUUAAUACAACUUAGUAAGUUAAAAUAUGUCAAAUUAUAUUUUAAA